UGAUAGCGUAGAAGCGUGAGGUUGCUGCCCGUAAACGGCAGGUUUUCCGUGGAGCGAAUGUCAAGUUAGGAAACUGGCGACAA
rfam:Clostridium hylemonae DSM 15053 genomic scaffold Scfld_02_2, whole genome shotgun sequence.